rnacentral:rRNA from 1 species
AUUGAACGCUGGCGGCAGGCCUAACACAUGCAAGUCGAACGGUAGCACAGAGGAGCUUGCUCCUUGGGUGACGAGUGGCGGACGGGUGAGUAAUGUCUGGGAAACUGCCCGAUGGAGGGGGAUAACUACUGGAAACGGUAGCUAAUACCGCAUAACGUCGCAAGACCAAAGAGGGGGACCUUCGGGCCUCUUGCCAUCGGAUGUGCCCAGAUGGGAUUAGCUAGUAAGUGGGGUAACGGCUCACCUAGGCGACGAUCCCUAGCUGGUCUGAGAGGAUGACCAGCCACACUGGAACGGAGACACGGUCCAGACUCCUACGGGAGGCAGCAGUGGGGAAUAUUGCACAAUGGGCGCAAGCCUGAUGCAGCCAUGCCGCGUGUAUGAAGAAGGCCUUCGCGUUGUAAAGUACUUUCAGCGAGGAGGAAGGUGUUGAGGUUAAUAACCUCAGCAAUUGACGUUACUCGCAGAAGAAGCACCGGCUAACUCCGUGCCAGCAGCCGCCGUAA